rnacentral:rRNA from 1 species
GACGAACGUUGGCGGCGUGCUUAAUACAUGCAAGUCAACUGAAGCAUUGGUAGUAAUACUGAUGUGGAGGUGGCGCACGGGUGAGUAACACGUAGGUAAUCUGCCUAUAGGUCUGACAUAACUCCGGGAAACCGAAGCUAAUAUCAGAUGAUGCAGCGGCUCGACAUCGAGACAGUUGUUAAACCUUCGGGGCCUAUAGAUGAGCCUGCGCCUGAUUAGCUAGUUGGCGGGUAAC